UUACGGCCACAUCACGUUGGAACACAGGUUCCCGUACAAUCGCCGAAGUUAAGCAAUGUUGAGCCUAGUCAGUAGCUAGAUAAGUGACCUUUUGUAAAUACCAGAUGUUGUAA